rnacentral:rRNA from 1 species
GAUGAACGCUGGCGGCGUGCCUAAUACAUGCAAGUCGAGCGAACGGACGAGAAGCUUGCUUCUCUGAUGUUAGCGGCGGACGGGUGAGUAACACGUGGAUAACCUACCUAUAAGACUGGGAUAACUUCGGGAAACCGUAGCUAAUACCGGAUAAUAUUUUGAACCGCAUGGUUCAAAAGUGAAAGACGGUCUUGCUGUCACUUAUAGAUGGAUCCGCGCUGCAUUAGCUAGUUGGUAAGGUAACGGCUUACCAAGGCAACGAUGCAUAGCCGACCUGAGAGGGUGAUCGGCCACACUGGAACUGAGACACGGUCCAGACUCCUACGGGAGGCAGCAGUAGGGAAUCUUCCGCAAUGGGCGAAAGCCUGACGGAGCAACGCCGCGUGAGUGAUGAAGGUCUUCGGAUCGUAAAACUCUGUUAUUAGGGAAGAACAUAUGUGUAAGUAACUGUGUACAUCUUGACGGUACCUAAUCAGAAAGCCACGGCUAACUACGUG